GAUGAACGCUGGCGGCGUGCUUAACACAUGCAAGUCGAACGGGAAACCUUUUAUUGAAGCUUCGGCAGAUUUCGCUGGUUUCUAGUGGCGGCCGGGUGAGUAACGCGUGGGUAACCUGCCUUAUACAGGGGGAUAACAGUCAGAAAUGGCUGCUAAUACCGCAUAAGCGCACAGAGCUGCAUGGCUCAGUGUGAAAAACUCCGGUGGUAUAAGAUGGACCCGCGUUGGAUUAGCUGGUUGGUGGGGUAACGGCCCACCAAGGCGACGAUCCAUAGCCGGCCUGAGAGGGUGAACGGCCACAUUGGGACUGAGACACGGCCCAGACUCCUACGGGAGGCAGCAGUGGGGAAUAUUGCACAAUGGGGGAAACCCUGAUGCAGCGACGCCGCGUGAAGGAAGAAGUAUCUCGGUAUGUAAACUUCUAUCAGCAGGGAAGAUAAUGACGGUACCUGACUAAGAAGCCCCGGCUAACUACGUG
rnacentral:rRNA from 1 species